rnacentral:rRNA from 1 species
UUGGAGGGCAAGUCUGGUGCCAGCAGCCGCGGUAAUUCCAGCUCCAAUAGCGUAUAUUAAAGUUGUUGCAGUUAAAAAGCUCGUAGUUGAAUUUCGGGGUCAGUAGGUUGGUCGUGCCUAUGGUAUGUACUGGCUUUACUGAUUCCUCCUUCUUGAAGAACUGUAAUGUCAUUAAUUUGGUGUUGCAGGGAAACAGGACUGUUACUUUGAAAAAAUUAGAGCGUUUAAAGUAGGCUAACGCUUGAAUACAUUAGCAUGGAAUAAUGAAAUAGGACGUUCGAUCCUAUUUUGUUGGUUUCUAGGAUUGACGUAAUGAUUAAUAGGGAUAGUUGGGGGCAUUAGUAUUCAAUUGUCAGAGGUGAAAUUCUUGGAUUUAUUGAAGACUAACUACUGCGAAAGCAUUUGCCAAGGAUGUUUUCAUUAAUCAAGAACGAAAGUUAGGGGAUCGAAGACGAUCAGAUACCGUCGUAGUCUUAACCAUAAACUAUGCCGACUAGGGAUCGGAUGAUGUUAAUUUUUUAAUGACUCAUUCGGCGCCUUACGGGAAAC